AAGAUGGGCACAGAUGUUAGCUCAGGGCCCGUCUUCCUCAGCAAAAAGAGGAGGAUUGGAAGCAGAUGUUAGCUCAGGGCUAAUCUUCCUCAAAAAAAAAAAAAGUGAUAAAGAAGAGCAGCGCACUAGCAGGUGUAAUGAUGGACAUGACAAAGUCCAUAUCCACUAGAAUGUGAGCUCCAUGGGGCAGGAAGUCUGUUUACUGCUGUAUGACCAUGACCUUGAACCAGUGCCUGACAAAUAGUACGUGCCCUGGGCUUGUCUAACUUGCUGGAAAAGAAAACCUAUUCUAAAUAGGACAAGUAUUUGAAGUUUUUAGUGAGCUCAACCUCAGUUAGUCAUAAUAAGUUGUACUAGGAAAAGGACUCUUGUAGAAGCCUCAAAAAUUAAUCCAAGGAAAUGAUCAUUUAAUAAAAAUACAUAAAAUCAUGCAUCUGCAGUUUGAGUGUAAGACUUUUGCAGCUGGCUUCUGUCCUCUGUUCAGCUUCUCUUUUCAAGCAGCGAAGGGCUAAAGUUUUUAUCUUAUUGCAGACUUUUUCUGUGCAGCAUACCACCAAUAAGGGAGGAGAGGAAAGAAGUGCUAAGCAAAUGACGAGUAUGGAGAGGGAUUUGAUCAGAGCUCCCAUCUUGUCCCCUGGAAGAUGCAUGUUGGAGAGAAAUCCUAAAAGGCAGUGAGAGUGGAGAGUGUUUUGGUUGAAGUGAUAUUCUUCAAGUCCACUCAGUUUGCACUGAGGCGAGAGGACUUCCUGUGAAUAAGGGUGGGAAGAGCAGCAGAGAGAGCACAUACCUUCACAUUCACGAGAGUCCACAAGGAAAAGAAGCCCUACGAAUGCUCCAUACUUAGAAAGGAUUUGACGUACGGCUGAGUUCUCCACACUCAUCGGAGAGUUCUCUCAGGAAAUCCAUCCCACAGAUAUGAAUGUGGUAAGAAUGAAAAAGACCAUGAACGUGAUGAGUGCAGUAAGGGCUUCACUUGGAAUUCAGAUCUUCAUGUUCAUCUUAGAAUCCACGUGGGAGACAAGGCUCCAUAAAUGUAAAAAAUACAGUAGGGACUUCAAUUGAAACUGCCAUCUUUUGGCUCAUCAGCGAUGAAUGAAGAAGAGAAAACCAUAUACAUAUGAAGAAUUUACUGUUUUCAAUAAUAGUGCACACCUUCUCCCUCAUCAAAGUCUGCACAAGAGAACAGAAUUCUUGACCCUUCAGGGCUCAGUGCAGAAUCAGAUGCCACUGUCUAUAAUCCAGGCAUGAAUGCUUUCAGAAGAGUCAGAGACACACACAACUGUUGGAAAGGCUAAGGGAAUGAUGACCAGGGAAGCAACACCAGCCUGCAGCAUCAAAGUGGACUCUCAGGAGCUUUCUUAGAUGCUCCUGCCAAUCUUGAGAAUCUGUCCACAGCAGCCAAGGGGGUGAUCCUCCAGGGCUUUCUCUGAAGCUGCUGAAGACGGGGAAGGCCCCACAUACUAUCUCAGUCGUGGACACCAAUGUGGGUGAUUACCAAGAAGCUCUCCUGGAAGCUGCCUCAAAGUUCUUGCCCGCCCCUGCCUCUGCCUGCAGCUGCCUGCAGAGAAUAAUGCCCUCUCUUCUCGGGCUUUCUGAAUCCCAUGUGAGCACCUUCUCAGUGGCUAACUGUACCCAAGAAGCAUCUGGGGAAGGGGAUUCUGAGAUACGCUGUUCUUGUCUUCUCUUCCAGUGUAGGAGACCUUAGAAGAGCCAGUCAUGAAGAAGUGAUGAAGCCAAGUCAACCACACACAGUCUAGCAUAGUGCUGUAAGGGCUUCAUUUGCACCUCAAGUCUUAGUAAACACCAGAGUCCACGCUCAUUUGUGUUCAGUCCACAUAUGUGAUGCUGAAAGAAGGGCUACAGUUAGCGCUCGCCUCUGUGAGGACCAAUUUUGCUCAUGCAGUUGAGAGACCCUAUCGGUGUCAUGACUGGCGAGGAUGCCAAGGGAACCUCUGGUCUUCCCAAUCGUUAGACAUCGAUGCAGAGCAGAAACUGUGAAUGUGAUCAUUGUAACCAUGGCUAUCAUCAGAGACUGCAAUCCUACUGUCUACACAGGAAGAAAAUUGUAAUUCGGAUGAGUCUGCAGAUUUAUUAAAAAGACCGUGUUAGAAAAAUAACCUGAAUGUGGUCAGGUCAGACAAGUUAUCAGAGAGUGUAUUCAGAGUAUAAAUGAGAGUGUGGUGAGAACUUCAGUCAGCGCUCAGGCCCUUAGAUUCAUUAGUCUCCACCACAUGAGAGAAGGUCGACUAAAGUGAUAUCUUAAGAGUGUAAUGGGAACCCUGCUAUCUGGUCACCGUGCGUGUCUUUCUGGACACACAGGAAAGCUAUGUUCACAUCCUCCUACACAGCUGGGUUGUAGCCAAGUGACUGAGUUCUGGCCAAUGGACUGAGGACACAAGGUAUAUGUACCACUUCCUGGCCUUGCCCAUGAAGCUAUUCCACGUGGUUCUCCCCUUCCUCUUCCACCGGGACCUCUAACCGUGAGUCAUGGAUGCCGCUUGUUCCAUAUUGUGUCGCUCUAAGGGGACGGACUGCCUGACCCCUGCUGGGCAUCCCUUGAGUGAGGAACUUUUGAUGCGCUAAGCCCCUGAGAUUUCAGGGGAUCUCUGAAGUGUACGUCUGUCCUGAAUAAUACAAAAGGUCUCAGUAGCAGCCGAUUUCAUAAUUACCCACGAAGGUCACCCUGUAAUUCCCUCUCUCCCUCCCCCCCUUAAAAUUUUGAAAUAAUUAUUUUCGAACACAUGAAAUUUACAGGCACAGUAACAAAGGACUUUCCUGAACUUUUGUAAAAAUAAGAUCUCAUGAUGCCCCAUCCCCCCUGCAUGCUCUAGUGUAUGUUAUACACAAAUAUGGAUAUUUCUCUACACAACCAUUUUAUAACAAUCAAAGUCAGGAAGUUAACAGUCGGGCAUUACUACCAUCUAACCCCCGUAUUCCAUUCACGUUUCACCAAUUGUCCCGUUAAUAUCCUUUAUAGGAAAAUUAUCCAAUCCAGGAUCACACAAUGCAUUUUGUUGUCCUGUCUCCUUAGGCUCCAUCACUAUUGAACAGUUCUUCAGACUUUCAUGACCUUGUCACUUUUGAAGAUUACAUGCUAGGUAUUUUUUUAUUGCGUAGGACAUCCCUUUAUUUGGACUUGUCUGAUGUGUCCUCGUGAUUAGAUUCAGGCUAUGUGUCUUUGGCCAGAACAUCACAGAAGUGACAAUAUGCUCUUAGGCUUACACUCGAUUAUCCCACUUGUGGUGACAUUGUGAUUACUGGAUAAUGUGAUGUCUGCCAUAACUUUCCACCGCAAAGCUACUCUUUUUUCCUUUAUAAUUAAGAAGUAGUUUGUGGAGUGGCACUUGGAGUUCAUGUAAAUAUCCACUCUUCAUUAAGCCCUCAUUAAUUUAUUUAUUAAUAUCGAUAUGGACUCCUGGAUUUCUAAUCUAUCAAUGUCUUAUGAUCAGUUGCUUUCUUUUAUUUUGAUCUUCAGAUGAACCCAGCUUUGGUAAUGGGAACCCCUUCAAGCUGGCUUCUCUGUUCUGUUGACAUGUCCCCGUCAUUCUUGAGUCACCCCCUUACUUGCUGGGACAAAAGGAUGUGCGAGGCUCCCCUCAUACUUUCCCAGCCCCAGAAUCAGCCGUUUUUUUACAAGAAUCCCUUCUUUCAUUCAGUGGAGAAUGGUAUUUAGAAACCAAAAUGUGGAUACUAGGUACACACAUUACUUUAGAGGCUCAUUGCUCCUUUAUAUAUUUUCUAUAUUUUUGAAAAGCAUAAACUGACACCGAUACCUCCGAUUCUAAUCCCAAACUGCAAGGUGCAUUCUGUUUUUCUCCUUUUCCUGGGAAGUGCUCCUGUGCAGAAGAGGUACCAUAGCAGGUCUCAGGCUGCCGUCUGGAGAAAGGCCUGCUUCCAAGGUUGCCCUCGAGGGACGUCUGGGAACUGGAUUUUGGUCGGGUUUCCACGGUUCCCUGACUGAUAACAGGGAUCCCCUGUGCCUAGACUCUUGGUGCAAAUAAUGCGGUGCAUGCUGAACACCUGCCUUCCCUCUGGGCGUCGGGACUUUGAGCAAGUGCCGGGCAGAGCGUGCCCAUGUGAGCGGCCUGCAGUCAGUGUCACGGGCACUCUGCGUCUAAGGGGCUUGCCUGAGAGAGACGCUUCACACAUGCGGUCCCACGUGUUGUCGGGGGGAUUAAGUGUGUGCUGUGUGACUUCACACAGAGAGGACAGUUGGGAAUUUAGACUGGCUUCCUCCACACUUCGCCCCAUGGAACAAAGCUUUAGAUAAACCAGAGGGAAAAAAGAGAGUGAGGAAGGGAAACACUGAGCCUCCCAGAUAGAAAACACAGCACAGAGUUGUCCCAGCCUCUCUCCGCCAGCAGCUGUAAUGCUGACCUUGUAAAUGCUGGGUUUAUUGUCAGGGGCUGGGGGCGGGGAAGGGACUUUUAAAAACACACCUUUGGGGCUGGCCAGGUGGCAUAGUGGUUACGUUUGUGUGCUCCACUUUGGCCACCUGGGGUCAUGGGUUCAGAUCCUGGGUGCGAACCUACAGACGGCUCACCAAGCCACCCUGAGGUGGUGUCCCACAUAAAAUAGAGGAAGACUGGCACCAAUGUUAGCUCAGUGACAAUCUUCCUUACCAAAAAAAAAAAAACAAAAAAAAAACCCCACCCCAAAACCAUGCCUUUGUAUUUUGUGGCUGUUGCACCUGGAUAUAUGAUAAAAAUUGAUGUAAAAUGUU